rnacentral:rRNA from 2 species
CUUGACCGAGAUUCAACAUGGAACGAGUGGCGGACGGGUGAGUAACACGUGGGUAACCUGCCCUUAAGUGGGGGAUAACAUUUGGAAACAGAUGCUAAUACCGCAUAGAUCCAAGAACCGCAUGGUUCUUGGCUGAAAGAUGGCGUAAGCUAUCGCUUUUGGAUGGACCCGCGGCGUAUUAGCUAGUUGGUGAGGUAACGGCUCACCAAGGCGAUGAUACGUAGCCCGAACUGAGAGGUUGAUCGGCCACAUUGGGACUGAGACACGGCCCAAACUCCUACGGGAGGCAGCAGUAGGGAAUCUUCCACAAUGGACGCAAGUCUGAUGGAGCAACGCCGCGUGAGUGAAGAAGGCUUUCGGGUCGUAAAACUCUGUUGUUGGAGAAGAAUGGUCGGCAGAGUAACUGUUGUCGGCGUGACGGUAUCCAACCAGAAAGCCACGGCUAACUACGUGCCAGCAGCGNGGUAUUUAA